GUCUAUGCCCAUGCCAUCCUCAGUGUACCUGAUCUUGUCUGAUCUCAGAAGCUAAGCAGGGGCAGGCCUGGUUAGGACUUGGAUGGGAGAUCCACGUACGGAAUAAUAAGCCCUCAAUAAACA
rnacentral:rRNA from 1 species